AGAGGACUGUGGUUUAGCUGUGGAGCACCUGUUUUGCAUGCAGAAGUCCCAGGUUCAACACCUGGCAUCUCCA